CUUGAUGCUCGUAGUUGGUUAUAUUUUCACUGCUCAAAAAUUCACUAAUUUUACCAGUCAGAAUCGUUUUUAAUACAAUCUCUACUACUAAACAAGUGUAGUAUUGAAAGACAAACAUGUCGAGAUCAAACGCAAGAUCUAGACAAGAUAGAGAGUCGCAGCAACAACAACGAAAACCAGGCGACGAUCAUUUUUAAAUCGCAUGUGGCAAACAGUCAUUCGUUUGCUGUGUAUUCGAGGAAACAACGAAACAACAGAGGCCGCGGAUAAUAAUCGGCAGACGGCAAAUGUCGAUAAAAGGGCUGAGAACAAUACCAGUACUCAACCCAAGGUUACAUCAGGUCCUAACCAACUUGUUACUGGAAAGCAGACUAAUUCUAUUAUAUUAUCAUCUUGUUGUAUUAUUACAGCAUUUUCUUAUAGCCUUGAAGAUAGUUUGGGACUGGAAAGAACUGAUCAAAAAGGGAAGAAGAUUAGUUCAUCAUCGUCUUCUGUAGCAGGAGCUUCAAUAUCAACAACUUCAGUAUCAUCACCAUCACCACCACUAGAAACGCAACUACUAUCUUCGUCGUCAUCGUCAUUAUCCUCCUCAUCAUCAUCAGCAUCAUCAGCAUCAUCAUCAUCAUCAUCAUCAUCAUUACUCUCGUCAUCUGAUCCAAAUAGGAGCCACUGUUACUCAUCUUCAUAUUCACCUGGCCAAAUCAUAUUCAUACCAGUAAGUUCAUCACUAUCAUUGUCGCCUGGUGAGGUGAUUUUACCGAUGGUAAACAUCAGUUGUUCCCCAUCGUCACCGCCAUCGUCGUCAUCAUCUUCUAGCAGCUCCUCUAAAUGUUCGAGUCCCGGUGAAAUCACUACCGCACUACCUGUUGGCAAACUGGAUGCAACAGCACAACGUCUUAACUCAAUGCUUCCCCCAAUUAGGCUACUAGACUCGUCAAGCGUCUCUCUUCUUGCAACCCCAGUCGAACUUGGACGUGGAAGCUUUGGACGUGUUGACCUGAUGACAUCUAAUAUCCUUGGGUACCAUCACCUGGUUGCUGUAAAGACAGCAUCCAUGAAGAACUACAAAGAGGAUGCUUGGAACCAGAUGUGCCUGGAGGCAAGAGUGAUGGAAUUCUUGUCAGGUUUGCCAUCAUUCCCUGAAGUCUACGGUGUAUUUCGCGAAGGUAACGAAUGCAGAAUGGUACAAGAAUUUGUUGGCAACAGUCAAACCCACACCAGUACUACCUUUUUUGAUGUGAUGAAAACCGGACGUCCGACGUUAACUGGACUUGAAUGCAUCAUUAUGACAUCCGAGGUCGCAAAGGGCCUCAAUGAGAUGCACACACGAGGACUUUUACAUAAUGACGUGGCAGCUAGAAACAUCUUAAUUUGCAACAAUGGCAUACGCUUCACAGCAAAACUAACAGACUUUGGGAUGGUGAGCAGCAUUCAAAAGCCAAGACACAACGACAAAAUGACCUUCAAAUCAGAAGCUGAAAGGGAUCAUUACAUACUUACACAUCCCGAGAUUGCCAUCGAGAAAAUCCUACACGGUGCCAGUGACUCAGUGCAGACUGAUAUCUUUUCACUGGGGUACGGCAUUAAAGUGUUGGGAACUGCUAUUGGAAACAUCCACAUGUCAGCCAUCGGAGACGCGUGCAUCCGGGUCAAUGCAGACGAACGACCACCUCUUGACUACGUCAUCAGCACCCUGGACCUCCUGGCAGACUGUGAAAGGGUAACUCCUGUUUGCCGGUCUGUUGAUAGACCUUUGUUUUAAGCUGCAAGCGUUCCAGUCCGAUUCCACCUGCGAAAUAUUUCAACUUGCAUAAGUGUAUGGCUUACAUCCUUUCCACAAAUUACAGGUAAGAACUAACGUAAACAUAUUGUUUGUUCUCAACACUAGCCUCACAAUAUUUAUCGUGUAUGCUAAGCCAUAAGUCAAUGUAUACGAUAUACAAUCACAAAAUACCAUAACCUUAAUAAUCGAUGCUGUAAAAUCUCAAAGCAUUAUGAUUAUAAAUAUAAUAGGCCUAAUAUAAUGAAUACAAUGAUCUGAAAGUCAACAUUAUUAGGAAUGAUUUAUUCAUAUUUUGUUUGGCAAUUUUUUAUUUAUUUAUUUAUUUAUUUUUUUACAAAAAUAACUGAACACUAAGUAGAAAUCGAUACUUUACGUUUUAUGGCCUACGAAGACGUGCAAGUAUUCGUCUUACAACUUUUCCAAAAAUUUCCAACAUUGUUAUCAACAACUAGCCUACUAAUAAUUAUUAUAAUAACGAUUACAGGUCGAUAAAGGAAAUUUAUUAAUUUAUUGUUUGGAAAUCUAUUUUUUUGUACAAAAAUAACGGAGCACAAAUGGGGAAAUCGCUACCAUUCGUCUUGCAAUUGACUUUAGUGUGCAAGUAUUCGUCCUACAAUUUUCAACAAGUUACUGGUAGGUAGGUAGAAACAUAACAUCUAGGCCUAUUGUUAUCAAGCUACUUUAUGUUUUUGCUAUUGGUACACUACUGUAUGUGUUGGAUAUUGGCAUAUUAUUAUAUUGAUUACAGAUCUAUAAAGUUUUCGAAUAUUUGACAUUAUUUGGAAUGUUUUUAAUUGAAUAUUUUGUUUUGAAUUAUUAUUAUAGAAAAUCGCUACAGUUCGAUAUUGUGACCCAAAAUGUGACAUUAUUAGGAAUAUUUAAUUUAUAUUUUGUUUGGAAAUUCAUUUUUUUAAAUACAAAAAUAAUGGAGCAUCAAGUGGGAAAUCGCUACCAUGCGUGUUAGGACUUUAUAAUGCGUAUGUGUAAGUAUUCGCUUCAAAACUUUUCCACAAAUUACAGGUAGAAUCAACAUUAUUGUUUUCAACACUUAGCCUACUGUACGUGUUGGAUAUUGGCAUACUAUAUAAUAUUAUAAUGAUAUUGAAUACAGUUUUAUAAAGUGGUCAAAAUCUAACAUUACUUGGAUUGGUUCAUUGGUAUUUUGUUUGGAAAUUGCUUUUUUUUUUUUUGCAAAAAAUAACGGAGCACCAAGUGAGAAAUCGCUAUCAUACUUGUGUUAUAAUGCCUUUAGUGUGCAAGUAUUCGUUCUACAACUUUUCAACAAAUUACAGAUAGGAACCAACAUAAUGUAUCUAUGUUGUUAUCAACACCGAUCCUACUUAAUUUUUUAAUUUUUAGCACAAUGAAUAUUAAUAUAAUAUUGAUUUUGACUUUCUCCAGAAUAUUAAAUUUUUUUUUUAAAUAUAUAUUUUUUUAAAUACUAAAAUAUCGGAGCACCGUGGGAAAUCGCUACCAUAUGUGUUAAACGGACAUUUGAUGUACAAGUAUUCGUCCUACAGCUUUUCUACAAAUUACAGCAUGUCCUUUACCGCCGCCAGCAGACUGUGCCGAAAUUUUGCGUCGAGAUUCCCUUACUCCAAGUGGGGUAUACAUCAUUCGGCCUCGGAUUCUGAAUGAAGACGUUAAUGUUUACUGCGAUAUGGAGACAG